CUCGAGUGACGACACCCAGGCGAACUAGCUACGAGCUAACCUGAAGCUAACCCUGGCUAACCCAAAGCUAAAGCGGAGGUGGGAGCCGAGCUAACGGAUGUAGCCACCUAGCUUCAACCCAACCGGAGCUAACUGGAACACCCAUCGACCUGAACCUUACACGGAGUUUAGGUGGAGGUUUUCUGCGCCUGUUCGUGAGAAGUACCUGUAUUAAAAAAGUUUUAAAUCGAUCUAUUAAAAGGUCACCAUGGCAGCCUGUGUGUCUCCAACGUCAGCUACACAACGCAGCGUCCAUUUGGAUCAUUGAAGACAGCUGAGUGAGGCGUGGUGCCCAGAGAGCUGCAGAGACAACCUUGGCCUCCCUGACGUCUGUGUCUCCUGGUUUGGUUGGGGCGGACCAUCGACUUACAUACAUGUGCCGACACUUUGCGCCCUGUUUUAUAAAAUGUAGUGUUAAAAAUAAAUGUUUUUGCUCAAUUACUGGAAUUUCUUUGGUUAAGACAAAAGUGAGGAAUAAUCAUUUACAAGUUAUUUGUACAACAGGCCCAUUUUAAAUCCCAACAGUUUCUUAGCAGACAAUAGAAAUGUGUUCUUUACUAACUUUACUUGGUUUGAAAAUCUUACUAAAAUAAACUUGAGUGCCGUAUU